rnacentral:rRNA from 1 species
GGGUUGUGAGGUUAAGCGACUAAGCGUACACGGUGGAUGCCCUGGCAGUCAGAGGCGAUGAAGGGCGUGCUAAUCUGCGAUAAGCGCCGGUAAGGUGAUAUGAACCGUUAUAACCGGCGAUACCCGAAUGGGGAAACCCAGUGUGACUCGUCACACUAUCAUUAACUGAAUCCAUAGGUUAAUGAGGCGAACCGGGGGAACUGAAACAUCUAAGUACCCCGAGGAAAAGAAAUCAACCGAGAUUCCCCCAGUAGCGGCGAGCGAACGGGGAGGAGCCCAGAGCCUGAAUCAGCAUGUGUGUUAGUGGAAGCGUCUGGAAAGGCGCGCGAUACAGGGUGACAGCCCCGUACACAAAAGCGCAUGUGCUGUGAGCUCGAUGAGUAGGGCGGGACACGUGGUAUCCUGUCUGAAUAUGGGGGGACCAUCCUCCAAGGCUAAAUACUCCUGACUGACCGAUAGUGAACCAGUACCGUGAGGGAAAGGCGAAAAGAACCCCGGCGAGGGGAGUGAAAAAGAACCUGAAACCGUGUACGUACAAGCAGUGGGAGCACCCUGUGUGACUGCGUACCUUUUGUAUAAUGGGUCAGCGACUUAUAUUCUGUAGCAAGGUUAACCGAAUAGGGGAGCCGGAGGGAAACCGAGUCUUAAUUGGGCGUUAAGUUGCAGGGUAUAGACCCGAAACCCGGUGAUCUAGCCAUGGGCAGGUUGAAGGUUGGGUAACACUAACUGGAGGACCGAACCGACUAAUGUUGAAAAAUUAGCGGAUGACCUGUGGCUGGGGGUGAAAGGCCAAUCAAACCGGGAGAUAGCUGGUUCUCCCCGAAAGCUAUUUAGGUAGCGCCUCGUGAAUUCAUCUCCGGGGGUAGAGCACUGUUUCGGCUAGGGGGCCAUCCCGGCUUACCAACCCGAUGCAAACUGCGAAUACCGGAGAAUGUUAUCACGGGAGACACACGGCGGGUGCUAACGUCCGUCGUGAAGAGGGAAACAACCCAGACCGCCAGCUAAGGUCCCAAAGUCAUGGUUAAGUGGGAAACGAUGUGGGAAGGCCCAGACAGCCAGGAUGUUGGCUUAGAAGCAGCCAUCAUUUAAAGAAAGCGUAAUAGCUCACUGGUCGAGUCGGCCUGCGCGGAAGAUGUAACGGGGCUAAACCAUGCACCGAAGCUGCGGCAGCGACACUGAUGUGUUGUUGGGUAGGGGAGCGUUCUGUAAGCCUGUGAAGGUGGCCUGUGAGGGUUGCUGGAGGUAUCAGAAGUGCGAAUGCUGACAUAAGUAACGAUAAAGCGGGUGAAAAGCCCGCUCGCCGGAAGACCAAGGGUUCCUGUCCAACGUUAAUCGGGGCAGGGUGAGUCGACCCCUAAGGCGAGGCCGAAAGGCGUAGUCGAUGGGAAACGGGUUAAUAUUCCCGUACUUGGUGUUACUGCGAAGGGGGGACGGAGAAGGCUAUGUUGGCCGGGCGACGGUUGUCCCGGUUUAAGCGUGUAGGUGUGUGUUCCAGGUAAAUCCGGUUCACUUUAACACUGAGGCGUGA